UACGUAGGGGGCAAGCGUUGUCCGGAUUUAUUGGGCGUAAAGAGCUCGUAGGCGGCUCGGUAAGUCGGAUGUGAAACCUCCAGGCUCAACCUGGAGACGCCAUCUGAUACUGCCGUGGCUUGAGUCCGGUAGAGGAGCAGGGAAUUCCUGGUGUAGCGGUGAAAUGCGCAGAUAUCAGGAGGAACACCGGUGGCGAAGGCAAUCCCCUGGGCCUGCACUGACGCUCAUGCACGAAAGCGUGGGGAGCAAACAGG
rnacentral:rRNA from 1 species